rnacentral:rRNA from 1 species
AUUGAACGCUGGCGGCAGGCCUAACACAUGCAAGUCGAACGAGUGGCGGACGGGUGAGUAAUGUCUGGGAAACUGCCCGAUGGAGGGGGAUAACUACUGGAAACGGUAGCUAAUACCGCAUACUAUCGGCUGAACCCAUAUGGGAUUAGUUAGUAGGUGGGGUAAAGGCUCACCUAGGCGACGAUCUCUAGCUGGGCUGAGAGGAUGAUCAGCCACACUGGGACUGAGACACGGCCCAGCCUCCUACGGGAGGCAGCAGGGGGGAAUAUUGCAAAAUGGGCGGAAGCCUGAUGCAGCCAUGCCGCGUGUAUGAAGAAGGCCUUAGGGUUGUAAAGUACUUUCAGCGGGGAGGCGUUACCCGCAGAAGAAGCACCGGCUAACUCCGUGCCAGCAGCCGCGGUAAUUC